rnacentral:rRNA from 1 species
CCUACGGGACGCACCAGUGGGGAAUAUUGGACAAUGGGCGCAAGCCUGAUCCAGCCAUGCCGCGUGAGUGAAGAAGGCCCUAAGGUUGUAAAGCUCUUUCACCGGUGAAGAUAAUGACGGUAACCGGAGAAGAAGCCCCGGCUAACUUCGUGCCAGCAGCCGCGGUAAUACGAAGGGGGCUAGCGUUGUUCGGAAUUACUGGGCGUAAAGCGCGCGUAGGCGGAUAGAUAAGUCAGAGGUGAAAUCCCGGGGCUCAACCCCGGAAUUGCCUUUGAUACUGUUUAUCUUGAGUGCAGAAGAGGUAAGUGGAAUUCCGAGUGUAGAGGUGAAAUUCGUAGAUAUUCGGAGGAACACCAGUGGCGAAGGCGGCUUACUGGUCUGUAAUUGACGCUGAGGCUCGAAAGCGUGGGGAGCAAACAGGAUUAGAUACCCCCGUAGUC